AAAGGAAGUUGACGGGGAGCACCACGAACGGGUGGAGCUCGCGGUUUAAUUGAUUCAACGCCGGAAUCUUACCGGGGCCGACAGCAAUAUGAAGGCCAGGCUGAAGACUUUGCCGGAUUAGCUGAGAGGUGGUGCAUGGCCGUCGUCAGUUCGUACUGUGAAGCAUCCUGUUAAGUCAGGCAACGAGCGAGACCCACGCCCACAGUUGCCAGCGUACUCUCUGGAGUGACGGGUACACUGUGGGGACCGCCGCUGCUAAAGCGGAGGAAGGAAUGGGCAACGGUAGGUCAGUAUGCCCCGAAUAUCCCGGGCUACACGCGAGCUACAAUGGUUGGUACAAUGGGUAUCUACCCCGAAAGGGGACGGGAAUCUCCUAAAACCAAUCUUAGUUCGGAUUGAGGGCUGCAACUCGCCCUCAUGAAGCUGGAAUCCGUAGUAAUCGCGUUUCAACAGAACGCGGUGAAUACGUCCCUGCUCCUU
rnacentral:rRNA from 1 species